AGAGCGAACGCUGGCGGCAGGCCUAACACAUGCAAGUCGAGCGCCCGUAGCAAUACGGGAGCGGCAGACGGGAUAGUAACACGUGGGAACGCGCCCUUCGGUUCGGAAUAACUCAGGGAAACUUGAGCUAAUACCGGAUACGCCCUUACGGGGAAAGAUUUAUUGCCGAAGGAACUGCCCGCGUCCGAUUAGCUAGUUGGUGAGGUAAUGGCUCACCAAGGCGACGAUCGGUAGCUGGUCUGAGAGGAUGACCAGCAUCACUGGGACUGAGACACGGCCCAGACUCCUACGGGAGGCAGCAGUGGGGAAUAUUGGACAAUGGGCGCAAGCCUGAUCCAGCCAUGCCGCGUGGAUGAUGAAGGCCUUAGGGUUGUAAGUCCUUUUAACGGGGAAGAUAAUGACGGUACCCGUAGAAUAAGCCCGGCUAACUUCGUGCCAGCAGCCGC
rnacentral:rRNA from 1 species